CACCUACUCCCUCCGUCCGAAAUUAUUUCUUGCGAAAAUGGAUAAAAAUAGAUGUAUCUAGACCUAAAAUAUGUCUAGAUACAUCCAUUUCUCCAACAAGUAAUUCCGGACGGAGGAAGUCCAUG
rfam:Triticum urartu cultivar G1812 contig1234250, whole genome shotgun sequence.